UUUUCUGAGAAUUUGAUCUUGGUUCAGAUUGAACGCUGGCGGCGUGGAUGAGGCAUGCAAGUCGAACGGAACAGUUUUUAACUGUUUAGUGGCGGAAGGGUUAGUAAUGCAUAGAUAAUUUGUCUUUAACUUGGGAAUAACGGUUGGAAACGGCCGCUAAUACCGAAUGUGGCACCAUUUAGGCAUCUAGAUGGUGUUAAAGAAGGGGAUCUUCGGACCUUUCGGUUAAAGGGGAGUCUAUGUGAUAUCAGCUAGUUGGUGGGGUAAAGGCCUACCAAGGCUAUGACGUCUAGGCGGAUUGAGAGAUUGACCGCCAACACUGGGACUGAGACACUGCCCAGACUCCUACGGGAGGCUGCAGUCGAGAAUCUUUCGCAAUGGACGGAAGUCUGACGAAGCGACGCCGCGUGUGUGAUGAAGGCUCUAGGGUUGUAAAGCACUUUCGCUUGGGAAUAAGAGAAGGCGGUUAAUACCCGCCGGAUUUGAGCGUACCAGGUAAAGAAGCACCGGCUAACUCCGUGCCAGCAGCUGCGGUAAUACGGAGGGUGCUAGCGUUAAUCGGAUUUAUUGGGCGUAAAGGGCGUGUAGGCGGAAGAGUAAGUCAGUUGUCAAAUCUCGGGGCUCAACCCCGAAUCGGCAUCUGAUACUAUUUUUCUAGAGGGUAGAUGGAGAAAAGGGAAUUUCACGUGUAGCGGUGAAAUGCGUAGAUAUGUGGAAGAACACCAGUGGCGAAGGCGCUUUUCUAAUUUACACCUGACGCUAAGGCGCGAAAGCAAGGGGAGCAAACAGGAUUAGAUACCCUGGUAGUCCUUGCCGUAAACGAUGCAUACUUGAUGUGGAUGGUCUCAACCCCAUCCGUGUCGGAGCUAACGCGUUAAGUAUGCCGCCUGAGGAGUACACUCGCAAGGGUGAAACUCAAAAGAAUUGACGGGGGCCCGCACAAGCAGUGGAGCAUGUGGUUUAAUUCGAUGCAACGCGAAGGACCUUACCUGGGUUUGACAUGCAUAUGACCGCGGCAGAAAUGUCGUUUUCCGCAAGGACAUAUGCACAGGUGCUGCAUGGCUGUCGUCAGCUCGUGCCGUGAGGUGUUGGGUUAAGUCCCGCAACGAGCGCAACCCUUAUCGUUAGUUGCCAGCACUUAGGGUGGGAACUCUAACGAGACUGCCUGGGUUAACCAGGAGGAAGGCGAGGAUGACGUCAAGUCAGCAUGGCCCUUAUGCCCAGGGCGACACACGUGCUACAAUGGCCAGUACAGAAGGUAGCAAGAUCGUGAGAUGGAGCAAAUCCUUAAAGCUGGCCCCAGUUCGGAUUGUAGUCUGCAACUCGACUACAUGAAGUCGGAAUUGCUAGUAAUGGCGUGUCAGCCAUAACGCCGUGAAUACGUUCCCGGGCCUUGUACACACCGCCCGUCACAUCAUGGGAGUUGGUUUUACCUUAAGUCGUUGACUCAACCCGCAAGGGAGAGAGGCGCCCAAGGUGAGGCUGAUGACUAGGAUGAAGUCGUAACAAGGUAGCCCUACCGGAAGGUGGGGCUGGAUCACCUCCUUU
rnacentral:rRNA from 1 species